rnacentral:lncRNA from 1 species
CGCCAGCGCUCGACAGAUGGAGGGUGGGUCCUGUCUCCGAGUCGCCGGGAACCGUCCAGCAUCUUCUCACGUCGUCCAGUUUGACCUGCAGCCGACAUUCCUGGCGCCCCGGGAUCCAGCUUCCAGACUCUGUACAGAGUCAUCUGAGUUUGCACAAAAGAUGAUCUGAAAAGCCGUCUCUGUGUCAGAUGCAGAUGAGCUGUUGUCCUAUGUGGAGUAAUGAACUUCUGUCCUGGGAAUAAAAGGUGUGGCUCGUGGGUUGGGAACA